GAUGAACGCUAGCGGCAGGCUUAACACAUGCAAGUCGAGGGGUAGAAGUCUUCGGACUUUGAGACCGGCGCACGGGUGCGUAACGCGUAUGCAAUCUACCUUUUACAGAGGGAUAGCCCAGAGAAAUUUGGAUUAAUACCUCAUAGUAUAAUGACCUGGCAUCAGGAUGUUAUUAAAGUCACAACGGUAAAGGAUGAGCA
rnacentral:rRNA from 1 species